CCCGCUGAACUUAAGCAUAUCAAUAAGCGCAGGAAAAGAAACCAACAGGGAUUGCCUCAGUAACGGCGAGUGAAGCGGCAACAGCUCAAAUUUGAAAUCUGGCCUCUUGGGGUCCGAGUUGUAAUUUGUAGAGGAUGUUUUGGGUACCGCCCCGGUUUAAAUUUCUUGGAACAGAAUGUCAGAGAGGGUGAGAAUCCCGUCUUGGACCGGCGGUAGGGCCUGCGUAAAACUCCCUCGACGAGUCGAGUUGUUUGGGAAUGCAGCUCUAAAUGGGAGGUAAAUUUCUUCUAAAGCUAAAUACCGGCCAGAGACCGAUAGCGCACAAGUAGAGUGAUCGAAAGAUGAAAAGCACUUUGGAAAGAGAGUUAAAAAGCACGUGAAAUUGUUGAAAGGGAAGCGCUUGCAACCAGACUUGUUGGCGGUGUUCGGCCGGUCUUCUGACCGGUUCACUCUCCGCCCGCAGGCCAGCAUCAUUUGGGGCCGCCGGACAAAGGCCUGGGGAAUGUUGCUCCCUCGGGAGUGUUAUAGCCCCUCGCACAAUACGGUGCGCCCCGAGUGAGGUCCGCGCUUCGGCUAGGAUGCUGGCGUAAUGGUUGUAAGCGGCCCGUCUUGAAACACGG
rnacentral:rRNA from 1 species